GACGAACGCUGGCGGCGUGCUUAACACAUGCAAGUCGAACGGAAAGGCCCUGCUUUUGUGGGGGGCUCGAGUGGCGAACGGGUGAGUAACACGGGAGUAACCUGCCCUUGACUUUGGGAUAACUUCAGGAAACUGGGGCUAAUACCGGAUAGGAGCUCCUGCUGCAUGGUGGGGGUUGGAAAGGUUCGGCGGUUGGGGAUGGACUCGCGGCUUAUCAGCUUGUUGGUGGGGUAGUGGCUUACCAAGGCUUUGACGGGUAGCCGGCCUGAGAGGGUGACCGGCCACAUUGGGACUGAGAUACGGCCCAGACUCCUACGGGAGGCAGCAGUGGGGAAUAUUGCACAAUGGGCGGAAGCCUGAUGCAGCAACGCCGCGUGCGGGAUGACGGCCUUCGGGUUGUAAACCGCUUUCGCCUGUGACGAAGCGUGAGUGACGGUAAUGGGUAAAGAAGCACCGGCUAACUACGUG
rnacentral:rRNA from 1 species